rnacentral:rRNA from 1 species
GGGGUGCUCGAGUGGCGAACGGGUGAGUAACACGUGAGUAACCUGCCCUUGACUUUGGGAUAACUUCAGGAAACUGGGGCUAAUACCGGAUAGGAGCUCCUGCUGCAUGGUGGGGGUUGGAAAGUUUCGGCGGUUGGGGAUGGACUCGCGGCUUAUCAGCUUGUUGGUGGGGUAGUGGCUUACCAAGGAUUUGACGGGUAGCCGGCCUGAGAGGGUGACCGGCCACAUUGGGACUGAGAUACGGCCCAG